AACGCACGAGACCUGCGGACCUGCGGAGGGAUCAUUACCGAGUUAUCCAACUCCCAACCCCUGUGAAUUAUACCUUUAAUUGUUGCUUCGGCGGGACUUCGCGCCCGCCGGGGACCCAAACCUUCUGAAUUUUUUAAUAAGUACCUUCUGAGUGGUUAAAAAAAUGAAUCAAAACUUUCAACAACGGAUCUCU
rnacentral:misc_RNA from 1 species